rnacentral:rRNA from 1 species
UACGAAGGGGGCUAGCGUUGCUCGGAAUCACUGGGCGUAAAGGGUGCGUAGGCGGGUCUUUAAGUCAGGGGUGAAAUCCUGGAGCUCAACUCCAGAACUGCCUUUGAUACUGAGGAUCUUGAGUUCGGGAGAGGUGAGUGGAACUGCGAGUGUAGAGUGAAAUCGUAGAUAUUCGCAAGAACACCAGUGGCGAAGGCGGCUCACUGGCCCGAUACUGACGCUGAGGCACGAAAGCGUGGGGAGCAAACAGGG